rnacentral:rRNA from 1 species
CCUACGGGAGGCAGCAGUGGGGAAUAUUGCACAAUGGGGGAAACCCUGAUGCAGCGACGCCGCGUGAGUGAAGAAGUCUUUCGGUAUGUAAAGCUCUAUCAGCAGGAACGAGACAAGACGGUACCUGCCUAAGAAGCCCCGGCUAACUACGUGCCAGCAGCCGCGGUAAUACGUAGGGGGCCAGCGUUCUCCGGAAUCACUGGGUGUAAAGGGAGCGUAGACGGCUGUGCAAGCCUGAAGUGAAAGGCGGGGGCCCAACCCCUGGACUGCUUUGGGAACUGUACGGCUGGAGUGCAGGAGAGGUAAGUGGAAUUCCUAGUGUAGCGGUGAAAUGCGUAGAUAUUAGGAGGAACACCAGUGGCGAAGGCGGCUUACUGGACUGUAACUGACGUUGAGGCUCGAAAGCGUGGGGAGCAAACAGGAUUAGAUACCCCUGUAGUC